rnacentral:rRNA from 1 species
GACGAACGCUGGCGGCGUGCUUAACACAUGCAAGUCGAGCGGUAAGGCCCUUUCGGGGGUACGACGAGCGGCGAACGGGUGAGUAACACGUGGGUGACCUGCCCUCAGCUCUGGGAUAAGCCUGGGAAACUGGGUCUAAUACCGGAUAUGACUCCAUGACGCAUGUUGGUGGGGUGGAAAGCCUUGUGCGGCUGAGGAUGGGCCCGCGGCCUAUCAGCUUGUUGGGUGGGGUGAUGGCCUACCAAGGCGACGACGGUAGCCGGCCUGAGAGGGCGACCGGCCACACUGGGACUGAGACACGGCCCAGACUCCUACGGGAGGCAGCAGGUGGGGAAUCUUGCGCAAUGGGCGAAAGCCUGACGCAGCGACGCCGCGU